GGCAGCGGAGUGGAGGAUGAUUAGAGGGAGAGGAAUGCAAACACAGCAGCCAGGUGUCCGCUUGUUCUCAUCUGCAUGUGCGCUGCAGUCAUCAGGUGUUGGACCGGAAUCGCUGAGACCCGGGCCAGAAAUCAGAAUAUUUUAUUUAAACUUUAGAAACUGAAGCCAGGUGAACUCAUCACAUCUUUCAGCGCCUCGCCUCUUCCUCCUAGUUUUCCUCAUCAUCCUCAGACGCUGAGAAUCAAGAAACAAAAAACCAACCAGACUGAAAACAGAAGACUUUUC